GCUGGCUUAGCUCAAUUGGCAGAGCAACUGAUUUGUAAUCAGUAGGUUGGGGGUUCGAUUCCUCUAGCCAGCACCA
rnacentral:tRNA from 1 species